AUUUACAAAAAAACAUAGGUAAUGUAAGUUAGACCAUUAAUAAUUUAAGGUCGACAUUAGUAUAAAGCUCGAUCAUUCAGAUGAAGACCCUAGUUAUAAACAAAAUAAUUUAGACUGCUAUCUGCUAUCAAAUUUGAUAUUUUCACCGAUAUUAUUGAUCAUACAAUAAUUGUUAUUAACACCUCAUGGCAAAUCCUUUAAUUAUUAUCAUCAAUAAUAAAAUUGAUAUAAAUAUAAAAAUAAUUAGGAACUUCAAGAUAUUAUAAAAAGGAGUAAUUUAGAAUUUAAUCAUCUGUGAUGUUACGAGAUUUUUUAUUGUUAUAUUAUUUUCACUCCGCAUGCUGUUUUAAUUUUUACCGGUAGUAACUAUAUUCUAGGUUACUAAGUGCCAAUUUAUCCAUAGUCGGUUAGAGCAUAACCACGUAUUAGUCGUUGACUUUUGACACAUCUGUCAAGAUUUUAUAUAGAGAUGUCGUAUAAUUGAUAACCAAUCCCUGGUCGGUUAGAUAACCGACUAUGGAGAAAUUGGCAAUUAAGUUAUCAUACCAUUUUUUUAGAUAAGUACAUGAAUUCUGUACAAAUGAGUAUUGCUAGUUUCAUGGGCUUAAAAGAAUUACGUGAGUUAAGGUGUAAAUUAAAUAUUGUUUGCAUUUAACUAGAUAAAUAAUUACUUGAGAAUCUUUGAUUUGUUAAAUUUUGUCCGUAGAAAUUAUGGUGCUAAAUUAUUUUAUUUUUUCCCUACUGUUGUUGUAUGGCAUAGCAAACAUUAUAGCUAUAAUUUCAAUGAGGUAUGGUAUUUGUUCCCUGUCUUAGAAUAGAAGCGUAAUUGAUUUAUAAUAAGCUAGAGUGCAUAUUAUACAGAUAAUAACUUAAUUCCUCAGCCAUAAAAGCAUCUAUCAGUCAAACGUCAUAGGACUUGCUAUAUUUUACAAAGUAAAGUAAGAAAUCUGUAAUCCGCAUCGCAGAAAGUGAUUGGGUAGCACUUCAAAAAUAUGCAUAUUGUAUGUAUUUAAAAGAAAACACCAAAGUAGUGAUGAUCAAUAUAAUCAUAAUAAAAGAGUACCUAAAUAAAAAAAAUACCAACUUUUUAGAGCGUGACUUUUCAGUAUUGAUGUAUUGACAAAAUUCUGCCCUACAAAAAAAUCUUAAUCAUAUACACGAUACACAGAUCAUAAUAUUUUACCUUCAUAUCUUGUAAAGAAUUUUUUAAUCGCAUAAUUAAAUUCCUAUUCCUAUGAAGUCAGCAAAUUUUGAAAUAUUUAUAUUAGAUGAUGUGUAGACUAUAAUAUAAUUUUUAAAACCUUAAGAUUUUAAUAAACUACUUACCUACUGUUGAA